rnacentral:tRNA from 1 species
AAGGCUGUAGUUUAAGCAGGAAGAACGCCGCCCUUUCACGGCGGAGGCUGUCAGUUCGACUCUGACCAGUCUUGCCA